GGGUCUUCACGGGGGCUCGUCUCUCUCCUCACAUUACUCACUGGCAGACGGAGCGGGCUGCCAGCGCCCCGCAGGUCCACCCUGGCACCCCUGCCCCGCCGCUCACACCUCUCGGCUGGAGGAAAUGAUCCAGGGGAAUCCGGGAGAAAGGCCCGGCCACUUCCGUCCAGCAGGCAGAUCCCUGGACAGCCUCCUCCUACAUGUCCCGCAUUUCAAAUUCCUGGUGAAAAUGACAUCAGUGGUCUCAUCUGAACAGCAUACAAUAUGGACCCUGCUUUCAGAAGCAAGACUUCACGAGCCGCAGAGACGGGCCGUGGGCGAUGGCUGGGUGAUUCUGAGCACUCCACAGACCCAUAUGGAAGAAUGUAUCCCUGAGGAAUGCUAAAUUUGGUUAUGCUACAAUCAUCGACGAAGCACAACUGGAGAUAGUAUACGGC